rnacentral:rRNA from 1 species
UACGUAGGUGGCAAGCGUUGUCCGGAUUUACUGGGCGUAAAGAGCGCGCAGGCGGUCGUUCAAGUCGCGUGUGAAAGCCCCCGGCUCAACUGGGGAGGGUCACGCGAUACUGAUCGACUCGAAGGCAGGAGAGGGAAGUGGAAUUCCCGGUGUAGUGGUGAAAUGCGUAGAUAUCGGGAGGAACACCAGUGGCGAAGGCGACUACCUGGCCUGUUCUUGACGCUGAGGCGCGAAAGCUAGGGGAGCAAACAGG